CCCCCAGAUGAUCAAACAAAACAAACUGAAAACCACAAUAAACCCAAACACACCCGAUCAAAAUCUGGCACCUCCUCGUUAACCCUUUAUUUUUCCAAAAAAAAUACUCCCCAUGAUCCCCUUCUUCUUCAAUAACGUUACACUCAAUCCAG